rnacentral:rRNA from 1 species
CCUACGGGGGGCAGCAGUCGAGAAUCAUUCACAAUGGGGGAAACCCUGAUGGUGCGACGCCGCGUGGGGGAAUGAAGGUCUUCGGAUUGUAAACCCCUGUCAUGUGGGAGCAAAUUAAAAAGAUAGUACCACAUGAGGAAGAGACGGCUAACUCUGUGCCAGCAGCCGCGGUAAUACAGCGGUCUCAAGCGUUGUUCGGAAUCACUGGGCGUAAAGCGUGCGUAGGCUGUUUCGUAAGUCGUGUGUGAAAGGCGCGGGCUCAACCCGCGGACGGCACAUGAUACUGCGAGACUAGAGUAAUGGAGGGGGAACCGGAAUUCUCGGUGUAGCAGUGAAAUGCGUAGAUAUCGAGAGGAACACUCGUGGCGAAGGCGGGUUCCUGGACAUUAACUGACGCUGAGGCACGAAGGCCAGGGGAGCGAAAGGGAUUAGAUACCCUGGUAGUC